CACUGGGAGGCAGCGGUUCAUCGAUCUGUUCCCUGAAAGGCGAUAAACAAAAUAUAGCAACAGGAAUCGGUCGAUAAACCUCUGCAUCCAGC
rfam:Nicotiana attenuata strain TT chromosome 6, whole genome shotgun sequence.